rnacentral:tRNA from 1 species
GGAGUUGUGGCUCAAUGGUAGAGCGCCUGCCUGGCAUGUGUGAGGCACUGGGUUCAAUUCUCAGCACUACA